rnacentral:siRNA from 1 species
GGGAUGGUCUAAGGAAAUAGAUA